CUCCUACGGGAGGCAGCAGUGGGGAAUAUUGCACAAUGGGCGGAAGCCUGAUGCAGCAACGCCGCGUGCGGGAUGACGGCCUUCGGGUUGUAAACCGCUUUCGCCUGUGACGAAGCGUGAGUGACGGUAAUGGGUAAAGAAGCACCGGCUAACUACGUGCCAGCAGCCGCGGUGAUACGUAGGGUGCGAGCGUUGUCCGGAUUUAUUGGGCGUAAAGGGCUCGUAGGUGGUUGAUCGCGUCGGAAGUGUAAUCUUGGGGCUUAACCCUGAGCGUGCUUUCGAUACGGGUUGACUUGAGGAAGGUAGGGGAGAAUGGAAUUCCUGGUGGAGCGGUGGAAUGCGCAGAUAUCAGGAGGAACACCAGUGGCGAAGGCGGUUCUCUGGGCCUUUCCUGACGCUGAGGAGCGAAAGCGUGGGGAGCGAACAGGCUUAGAUACCCUGGUAGUCCACGCUGUAAACGGUGGGUACUAGGUGUGGGGUCCAUUCCACGGGUUCCGUGCCGUAGCUAACGCUUUAAGUACCCCGCCUGGGGAGUACGGCCGCAAGGCUAAAACUCAAAGGAAUUGACGGGGCCCCGCACAAGCGGCGGAGCAUGCGGAUUAAUUCGAUGCAACGCGUAGAACCUUACCUGGGUUUGACAUGGAUCGGGAGCGCUCAGAGAUGGGUGUGCCUCUUUUGGGGUCGGUUCACAGGUGGUGCAUGGCUGUCGUCAGCUCGUGUCGUGAGAUGUUGAGUUAAGUCCCGCAACGAGCGCAACCCUUGUUCACUGUUGCCAGCACGUUAUGGUGGGGACUCAGUGGAGACCGCCGGGGUCAACUCGGAGGAAGGUGGGGAUGACGUCAAGUCAUCAUGCCCCUUAUGUCCAGGGCUUCACGCAUGCUACAAUGGCUGGUACAGAGAGUGGCGAGCCUGUGAGGGUGAGCGAAUCUCGGAAAGCCGGUCUCAGUUCGGAUUGGGGUCUGCAACUCGACCUCAUGAAGUCGGAGUCGCUAGUAAUCGCAGAUCAGCAACGCUGCGGUGAAUACGUUCCCGGGGCCUGUACACACCGCCCGU
rnacentral:rRNA from 1 species